rnacentral:tRNA from 1 species
GGGCCUUUAGCUCAGCUGGUUAGAGCGUGCGCUUGAUAAGCGCAAGGUCGAUGGUUCGAUCCCAUUAAGGCCCACCA